GAUGAACGCUGGCGGCGUGCCUAAUACAUGCAAGUCGAGCGAACAGACGAGGAGCUUGCUCCUCUGACGUUAGCGGCGGACGGGUGAGUAACACGUGGAUAACCUACCUAUAAGACUGGGAUAACUUCGGGAAACCGGAGCUAAUACCGGAUAAUAUAUUGAACCGCAUGGUUCAAUAGUGAAAGACGGUUUUGCUGUCACUUAUAGAUGGAUCCGCGCCGCAUUAGCUAGUUGGUAAGGUAACGGCUUACCAAGGCAACGAUGCGUAGCCGACCUGAGAGGGUGAUCGGCCACACUGGAACUGAGACAGGGUCCAGACUCCUAAGGGAGGCAGCAGAAGGGAAUCUUCCGCAAUGGGCGAAAGCAUGACGGAGCAACGCCGCGUGAGUGAUGAAGGUCUUCGGAUCGUAAAACUCUGUUAUUAGGGAAGAACAAAUGUGUAAGUAACUAUGCACGUCUUGACGGUACCUAAUCAGAAAGCCACGGCUAACUACGUG
rnacentral:rRNA from 1 species